UCACCAGGCAUGUUUCCUUGACUAGAGUUUCUACAGCCUCUAAAGUUAGAGGGGUUGGCCUGUGGGCUGUGGAGAGUCUGGAGACAUCUUUCAAGGAGCCAUCCCCUUAACAUAUCGACUGGGUUGGGCAAAGACCGGGCCAGCCAAGUUAUGCGGGCCUAUCUAUACUGGCAAUCCAAUCCUUCUGGGCCGAUUGGUUGGUCACUGGUAAUCAAAAUCGUGUCUCCGGUUUUCUUUGAUUCCACUCUGUCUUCGAACUUCAAAGGUAGAAAAGUUACGCAUGGAACUUGAAACAAUCCUUCGUUCUGCCACCGCAGCAAGAAAACGUAUCCACCUGUGGCAGGACCUUUAUUUAUUAUGAUGCGCCAUCAAUUUUGUAAGCAGAGAAAUCAUUACAGAUUUUGUUCAGGAAACAAAGUGGUGGAGUUAGAAGUUUCCACAAGCAUUUGAGGCCAGAAUUUAAAUAUUCUUCGAAUUGUAGUAGUGCUUAUAAGUUAUAAUUCUUUUUCAAGUGGUGUUUAAGGUCAAUGUGUACCUUCUUCGGUCCUUCGGAUGCACAACUGUUCGAUGUGAAAGUGAUGUUUUGUGUUGCUCAUUGUAUGGGCCAUAACAAGGAUUUUUGUUUGACUCAUGUCGAUACUGAAUUAUUCCACCGAAAUUUUCAAUCGAAAUUUCAAGCUAUGAUUAUGAGUGAUCACAUGCCAACAGUGCUAUACAUAUGUUAUUUUGAGUGAGUUCAACUCCCUUUCCCCCCCUUCUCUAUGUUGAGUAAAUUGAAUUUAUUAAUUUCUUUCAUUUCCUUGUUGUGGCAUGUUUCAGCUAUUCCUGUGGUGCAAUGCUUCUUUCAUAAUAGUCUUAGCCAAUAGUCCAUGAGGUGUGUGAUGUAGGACUAGGUCACUAACCCCCAAUAGGAUCACCUGCACUGUCAAAACAGUUGGCUUAGCACUCAAUUCCAGCAAAAGAAAAUAGGUAACAGACCCAAUAUUAAGGUACUGAACUAGACUAUUGGUACUGAUGUAAUCACAGGUCUGAGACAAAGAUAUAGCCACUGGAAUACCUUUCUACAGAAGGCAAACAACAAGGGGAAACACUGCUGUUGGCAGAGCACUGACAGACUAUUAUCCAGAACAAUAAAUUGUUUCUCAAAAUAGUAUCUAAACAAAUGGGAGAGAUUUUCCAGUCGAGGGUAGGGUUCUUAGGAUAGAACAACACUCGAAAAUUCAGCCCUUGUUCAUGGCUGCAUCAUGAGUUAUGCUAGGAAUUCGAAAAUAGUAACUUCGUACCUUAGGAAGAAACAACCAGUUGAUGGACAAGAAACCUUAACAAAUAGGUAGUUUAUGGCUAGGGAAGAUACAUAUCCAAAGCUGAACUCAAUAAAGAGUUAGAUGAGAAGAACACCUUCAUGAAUCUUGAUGUCCCAAAAACCCAGAUCUGAUGUUGCCACAGGGAACUUAUGAACCAUCAGUCACAGCUGUUAUCAAUGGAUCACAGAGACAUCCUUCACAUGUAUCAGCAUUAGUACUACUGUACUAGAGCAGAGUAAGAUGGCCUUAAAAAGCUUCUGUAGUAAUUGAUUGCAGUUGCAAUGAAAAUAGAAACUAACAGUGCAAGGAUAGGAGAGAAGAAAAAGGAAGAACAUGGGGAGGGGGAAUAUGACCAAGGCCUUGAUCAGUCUCUCACUAACCUAGGUUACUCACCUGGUAUUCACUCUUUCUCACAACCAUGGCGCAAAACCAAACUCUUAUAUUCAUCUUCAAAUCGUGGGGAAGGACUCUAUGGUCCCUUGCAUAAAUAAUGGCUAUUGCCGAACACUAGAAAGGAAGAAAAAAAUAAAAAGAAAGUUCCUCACAAAGAAAGAAUGGGAUGUGUACAGCAAGUUGUAAUUCUUAUCUAUUAAACCAAAAUAGAAACUUUCUAAUAGCCUAAAAUUACAAUGACAGAAAUAACUCACCUAACUGUAGCAGUCUCUCCAAUGACAAAUUUCCCUGUUUCCAACCCCAAAAUCCUAAUUGAACUUAUUCAACGACAAAUCUCCCUUUCCCUGUUUUCAAACCCAAAUCCUAAUUGAACUCCUGAUUCAACUUGUGAAAAUUAGUGCACUCAUCCAAAGAUAUCUCGGUAAGUUUUAACUAUUUUUGGUUUAAUUUUUCAGUUCUGACUGCUCUCACUUCUCUUUAAUCAACCCACAAGUUUCUGAUCAGCAUUUUAGAGAAAUGAAUCCUCAUAGGGUCUUUGUGCAAGGGGCAAGCCCUGACCAUUUUGUUAAUAUCGAAGCUUCCACUACAGACUUUCCUGUGUUCGAAACCCAUUAAUGCCUCAUUACAUAAAUGUAUAGCUAAAGGCUUAGUUUAUAUUACAAAGAGGUUAAUAUUCUUUUUUUUUGGUGUUUUUUUUUUCUUUUGGUAAAGAGAAAGAGGUUAGUUAAUAUUCAACAGUGGGAAAAAUGGAUCUGGAAUGUAGAACUUAUACGUUUCCUUCAUCCCACUUAUAUUAUCAUUUGGUUCUCUCUUUAGGAGUUUAGAUAAUGAGGUACAGGUGUCCUUAUUACCAUCUAGAGGAAUGAAUGUGAGGUUCCCAAUUUUUCGCAGGAGAAUUUAAUCCUAGUUGUUACACUCUUGCUGUCUCAUAAGCAGUCUCAAAAGUACUGCAGGUUUGACUUUUCAUCUAUCCUCCAUUUAAAUAAAUUGGGUAGCCCCUUUAGAUUUUCUGAUUUUUGUAUUGAUUAACAAGUCAGUGAGUUCUAGCAUGCACUGGUGUGCUGAUUGCACAUCACAAUUAAUGCAAUAGGCCCAAGUUUAUUGUGUGGGUGUAUACUAAUAGAAUGGUAUAUGAUUUAUAUGCACAGUUCUUGUUUGAAAGAAAUAACCUUCUGUAGCGGGAGCCUCGUGCACUGGGUUGCUCUUUUUAUUGUAUGUGCUCAUAUCAAUUUGCCUUGCAUCAAUCCCUACUCAAUACAGUUUUUAUGCAACUCUAAUCUAUCCAACUCACAGUUUUUAUGGAUUUAAUGGUGUGUGGGUAUUGCAUUAUAUCAGUUUUUUUUCCUAUGUGCCCACAUCAAUCUGUGGAAUACUGUGUUCAUCCUUGGCCCAUUUUAUUUCCCACCCGUAGUGGCAAUGAGAAGUAAACUUGGUAAUUGAUGGGCAUUUGGUAUUGCUUCCCAAUUGAGGAAAGUGGGGUGACUUAUGAUUGUGGACCAACUGAAGAUGAGAUUUAUGAAAUCCAGCCCCUGGAAACAUAAUGUUUGAAUCUUUGCCCCACAGAAAUUCCAGAGAUGGUGGGCAACAAAGAAUGCAAUUGUGGAUCGAUGCAAUAAUGUUGACACUGUGAUAGUAAAUGCUGUAUUCUCUGAACUUGCAUGGAAUUUCGGGGUUUAUAGCUCAUGAGAAAUUAUGGGUAUUAAUUCCAGGAAUUUUGUUGGACUCUGGGUUGUAUUUGCAUAAUAUAAAAUACUAGAUUUUUGUUGGAUCUAGGUAUGUCUUGAAUUUUCUUUUUGGCUGUUUUUUGUAUGUGCUCAUAUGUUACGCCCCAUGGCUCAGUUUCUCUUCUUUUAUCCAAAUAAAGCAUGAAGACAUGGUUUUGGCUCUCUUGUAAA